GAGCGCAACCCCUGUCCUUUGUUGCCAGCACGUAAUGGUGGGAACUCAAGGGAGACUGCCGGUGAUAAACCGGAGGAAGGUGGGGAUGACGUCAAGUCAUCAUGGCCCCUUACGGCCAGGGCUACACACGUGCUACAAUGGCGCGUACAGAGGGCUGCAAGCUAGCGAUAGUGAGCGAAUCCCAAAAAGCGCGUCGUAGUCCGGAUCGGAGUCUGCAACUCGACUCCGUGAAGUCGGAAUCGCUAGUAAUCGCGAAUCAGAAUGUCGCGGUGAAUACGUUCCCGGGCCUUGUACACACCGCCCGUCACACCAUGGGAGUGGGUUGCACCAGAAGUAGAUAGCUUAACCUUCGGGAGGGCGUUUACCACGGUGUGAUUCAUGACUGGGGUGAAGUCGUAACAAGGUAACCCUAGGGGAACCUGGGGUUGGAUCACCUCCUUACCUUAA
rnacentral:rRNA from 1 species